GGUUUUAACAAUAGAUUAAAAUAAGUAGAAUAAUAUUUUGAGGAAAUUGAGGAAAACUUCCCUGGCCUUGCUAGUGAUUUAGAUAUCCAAAAACUCACACGGCCUAUAAAGCAAUAAUACAAUGAAGAAAAAAAUGUAGGUAACAAUUCACAUGUUGAUUGGAACAGUAUCUUGACAUUAUGUUGAACGUAAAUGGCGUAAUGGUCCACUUAAAAUAUACAGAUUGGCAGAUUAGAUAAAAAAAUCACAAACUAGAUAUCUUCGGUCUUCAAGAGACUCACCUAACAUUGAGGGAUUUAUAUAAACUCAAGGUAAAAGAGUGGUAAAAGUUAAUCCAUGCAAAUGGAAACCCAAAGUGACCAGGAGUAGCUAUUCUUAUAUUAGAUAAAACAACAACAAACUUUAAAGCAACAGCAGUAAAAAAUGACAAAGAAGAUCAUUAUAUGAUGAUAAAAGGAUCAAUUCAACGAGAAGAUAUUAUAAUUUUAAAUGUAUAAGCACUUAUCCCUGGAGCUCUCAGAUUUUUAAAACAAUUACUACUUGACUUAAGAGAGGAGAUAGAAAGCAACACAAUUAUAGUGGGGGACUUCAACACCCCAUUGACAGCAGUAGACAGAUGGCGCAUGGAACAUUUUCCAUGAUAGACCUAUAUGACACACCACAAAACAAGUCUCAAUAAAUGUGAAAAAAUAAAAAUUAUAGAAAGUAUCUUCUCAGAUCACAGCAGAAUACAACUAGAAAUCAACUCCAGAAGAAACCCUCAAAACUAUACCUAUACAUAGAAAUUAAACAAUCUGUUCCUGAAUGAUUUUUGUGUUAAAAAUGAAAUCAAGUUGGAAAUUAAACAGUUCUUUGAAAUGAAUAAUAGUGACAUGAGUCAUCAGAACUUCUGGGAUACAGCAAAUGCAGUGCUAAGAGGAAUGUUUGUAGCACUAAAUGCCUACAUCAGAGCCUGAAAGACCACAAACUGACAACCUAAUGUAACACCUCAAAGAAUUAUAGAAACAAGAACAAACUAAGCCCAAAUCUAGAAGAAAAGAAGUAACAAAGAUUAGAGUAGAACUACAUGUAUUUGAACAAAAAAUCAAUACAAAAUAUCAAUGAAACAAAAAGUUGGUUCCUUGAAAAGGCAAAUAAAAUUGAUAUAACUUUAGCUAGAUUAACCAAGAAAAGAAGAGAGGAGAUUCAAAUAAGGUCAAUUAGAAAUAAAAUUGGAGACAUUACAACCUACACCACAGAAACACAAAAGAUCAUUUGAGAUAGCCAUGAACACAAACUAGAAACACAAACUAUGCACACAACCUAGGAAAUCUAGAGGAAAUGGAUAAAUUCCUGGAAACCUACAACUUUUUCAGAUUAAAUCAGGAAGAAAUAGCAACCCAGACCAGACCAAUAACAAGCAGCAAUAUUAAAUCAGUAAUUAAAAAUUGACAACAAAGAAAAAAAGCCCAGGAUCAGAUGGGUUCACAGCUGAAUUCUACCAGGCAUUCAAAGAAUUGGUACCAAUCCUACUGGUGAAACUAUUACAAAAGAUUGAGAAAGAGGGAAUCCUCCCUAACUCAUUCUGUUAAGCCAGUGUUACCCUGAUACCAGAACCAGGAAAGAACAUAACAAAAAAAGAAAACUACAGACCAAUAUCCCUGAUGAAUGUAGAUGCAAAAAUUCUCAACAAAAUACUAGAUAGCUGAAUCUAUCAGCACAUCAGAAAGAUAAUACAUCAUGAACAAAUGGGCUUCAUUCAAGGGAUGCAGGGAUGGUUUAACAUAAGCAUGUCAGUAAAUAUGAUUCAUCACAUAAACAGAAUUAAAAACAAAAACCAUAUGGUUAUCUCAAUAGCUGC
rnacentral:lncRNA from 1 species